CCUACGGGUGACAGCAGUGAGGAAUAUUGGUCAAUGGACGCAAGUCUGAACCAGCCAUGCCGCGUGCAGGAAGACGGCUCUAUGAGUUGUAAACUGCUUUUGUACGAGGGUAAACGCAGACACGCGUACCUUUCUGAAAGUACUGUAUGAAUAAGGAUCGGCUAACUCCGUGCCAGCAGCCGCGGUAAUACGGAGGAUUCGAGCGUUAUCCGGAUUUAUUGGGUUUAAAGGGUGCGUAGGCGGUCGGAUAAGUUAGAGGUGAAAUUGCGAGGCUCAACUUCGGAAUUGCCUUUGAUACUGUUAGGCUAGAGAAUAGUUGCGGUAGGCGGAAUGUAUGGUGUAGCGGUGAAAUGCUUAGAGAUCAUACAGAACACCGAUUGCGAAGGCAGCUUACCAAGCUACUUCUGACGUUGAGGCACGAAAGCGUGGGGAGCAAACAGGAUUAGAUACCCGUGUAGUC
rnacentral:rRNA from 1 species